rnacentral:rRNA from 1 species
GAUGAACGCUAGCGGCAGGCCUAACACAUGCAAGCCGAGCGGUAUUGUUUCUUCGGUACUGCUAGAGCGGCGUACGGGUGCGUAACACUUGUGCAACCUGCCUUUAUCUGGGGGAUAGCCUUUCGAAAGGAAGAUUAAUACUCCAUACUAUAUUUAACGGCAUCGUUUUAUAUUAAAAGCUCCGGCGGAUAGAGAUGGCGACGCACUAGAUUAGCUAGUAGGUGAGGUUACGGCUAACCAAGGCGACGAUCCUUAGGGGGCCUGGGAGGGUGAUCCCCCACAAUGGAACUGAGACACAGACUAGAACGCGACGGGGCGCAGCAGUGAGGAAUACUGGGCGAGGAGGGCAAGCCUGAAACAGCCAUCCCGGGGGAAGGACGACUGCCCUAUGGGUUGUAAACUUCUAUUGUAGAGGGAUAAACCAACCCACGAGAGAGUAGCUGAAGGUACUAAACGAAUAAGCACCGGCUAACCCCGUG